UGGGGAAUAUUGCGCAAUGGGCGAAAGCCUGACGCAGCGACGCCGCGUGAAGGAAGAAGGCCUUCGGGUCGUUAACCUUUGUCUGCAGGGAAGAAACCGCACCGUGCUAAUCAGCAGUGCCUUGACGGUACCUUCAAAGGAAGCAACGGCUAACUCCGCGCCAGCAGCCGCCGAAAUACGGAGUGUGCAAUCGUUAUUCGGAAUUAUUGGUCGUAAAGCGUACGUAUGCUGCUUAGUAAGCUAGGGGUGAAGUCCGACGGCUCAACCGUGGAACUGCCUUUGAUACUGCUUGGCUUGAAUCCGGGGGAGGGUGGCGGAAUUCCAGGUGUAGGAGUGAAAUCCUUAGAUAUCUGAAAGAACAUCAGUGGCGAAGGCGGCCACCUGGACCGGUAUUGAUGCAGAAGUGCGAAAGCGUGGGGACCAAGCAGG
rnacentral:rRNA from 1 species